CGACUUUCUAUCCUUUUCGCAUCAAUGAGAUCAUUUUUAUUUCGGCUAUUUUUAGCUACCACCCGCUAUAUUUUUGAUGUUGAAGUUUAAUAUGCUGAUCAACUUUUACUAAUUGGAAAUGCGUCAAGGAAAUAUUAAAGAAUUAUUAUGAUUAUUACGAAGUCCAUCCGUAUUCUAAAUGCUCACUACAAUCCACCGAAGUCAUCAACAACGACAAAGCCGGGAAACUCCUGUUUGAAAGCCGCGCCAAAAGACACACACGUCACGAGUGUUACAGUACUACCACACAUGCACAUCAAACCCCAACACGUCGACACCGCGCAAGGAAAUCGUCACUUCUUCGUUUUACUCUCGGACCGGCAGGUCGCACGUUAAAUAUAUGAGCUUUAUCAUUUUUAUCAUUCAACGGAUUUAUUAGUAAUAAAUUAUAUAAUUCUACCACUUUUGAACC
rnacentral:sRNA from 1 species